rnacentral:rRNA from 1 species
UACGGGGGGGAGCAAGCGUUGUUCGGAUUUACUGGGCGUAAAGGGCGCGUAGGCGGCCACGACAAGUCACUUGUGAAAUCUCCGGGCUUAACUCGGAAAGGUCAAGUGAUACUGUCGGGCUAGAGUACAGAAGGGGCAACUGGAAUUCUCGGUGUAGCGGUGAAAUGCGUAGAUAUCGAGAGGAACACCUGCGGCGAAGGCGGGUUGCUGGGCUGAUACUGACGCUGAUGCGCGAAAGCCAGGGGAGCGAACGGGG